UACAGAGGUCCCGAGCGUUGUUCGGAUUCACUGGGCGUAAAGGGUGCGUAGGUGGCGAGGUAGGUCGGAUGUGAAAGCUCGGAGCUCAACUCCGAAAUGGCAUUGGAAACUACCUUGCUCGAGGGUUGGAGGGGGGACUGGAAUACUUGGUGUAGCAGUGAAAUGCGUAGAUAUCAAGUGGAACACCAGUGGCGAAGGCGAGUCCCUGGACAACUCCUGACACUGAGGCACGAAAGCUAGGGGAGCAAACAGG
rnacentral:rRNA from 1 species